rnacentral:rRNA from 1 species
CAGUCGCCGCGGUAAUACAGAGGGUUCGAGCGUUAAUCGGAUUUACUGGGCGUAAAGCGUGCGUAGGCGGCUUUUUAAGUCGGAUGUGAAAUCCCUGAGCUUAACUUAGGAAUUGCAUUCGAUACUGGGAAGCUAGAGUAUGGGAGAGGAUGGUAGAAUUCCAGGUGUAGCGGUGAAAUGCGUAGAGAUCUGGAGGAAUACCGAUGGCGAAGGCAGCCAUCUGGCCUAAUACUGACGCUGAGGUACGAAAGCAUGGGGAGCAAACAGGAUUAGAGACCCCGGUAGUCCCUGUCUCUUAUAA